rnacentral:rRNA from 1 species
AGUAGCGGUGGAAUGCGUAGAUAUCUGGAGGAAUACCAAAGGCGAAGGCAGUCCCCUGGUCCGAUACUGACACUGAGGUACGAAAGCGUGGGGAGCAAACAGGAUUAGAUACCCUGGUAGUCCACGCCCUAAACGAUGUCGAUUAGCCAUUGGAAGGACCCCUUUUCCUUUCAGUGACGUAGCUAACGCGUUAAAUCGACCGCCUGGGAAGUACGACCGCAAGGUUAAAACUCAAAGGAAUUGACGGGGACCUGAACAAGCGGUGAAUGAUGUGGAUUAAUUCGAUGCUACGCGAAGAACCUUACCUACCUUUGACAUGGCCAAAGUUCUACCGAGAGGCGGAAGUACUCGUAAGAGGAUUGGCGCACAGGUGCUGCAUGGUUGUCGUCAGUUCGUGUCGUGAGAUGUUGGGUUCAGUCCCGCAACGAACGCAACCCUUUAUCUUUAAUAGCUCCUAUUUUAACAGGCACUUUAAAGAAACUGCCAAUGAUAAGUUGGAGGAAGGUGGGGAUCACGUCCAAGUCCGCAUGGCCUUUAUAGGUAGGGCUUCACACGUCAUACAAUGGUUAGAACAAAGAGCUGCAAAUUCGUAAGAAGGAGCCAAUCUCACAAACCUAACCUCAGUUCGAAUUGCGGUCUGCAACUCGAGCGCAUGAAGCCGGAAUCGCUAGUAAUCGUGGAUCAGAAUGCCA